CACGAAACGUUUGUUCGCCACCACAGGCCACAGCAACCUAAGUUAGGUACAUUAUAUUUAUUGUAUAUUUGUGAUUUUUGAUAAAAACAAUAAAUAUUUGUGUAUAUUUAUCAUCAAUUAUAAAAAUACAAAAAAUAUAAUACAUUUAGUUAGGUUGCUGUGGUGGCGAACAAACGUUUCGUG